UACGAAGGGGGCUAGCGUUAUUCGGAAUUACUGGGCGUAAAGCGUGCGCAGGCGGCUUCUCAAGUCAGGGGUGAAAGCCCAGAGCUCAACUCUGGAAUUGCCUUUGAGACUGAGUGGCUUGAGUACGAGAGAGGUGAGUGGAAUUCCCAGUGUAGAGGUGAAAUUCGUAGAUAUUGGGAAGAACACCGGUGGCGAAGGCGGCUCACUGGCUCGUAACUGACGCUCAUGCACGACAGCGUGGGGAUCAAACAGG
rnacentral:rRNA from 1 species